rnacentral:rRNA from 1 species
GAUGAACGCUGGCGGCGUGCCUAAUACAUGCAAGUCGAGCGAACAGAUGAGAAGCUUGCUUCUCUGAUGUUAGCGGCGGACGGGUGAGUAACACGUGGGUAACCUACCUAUAAGACUGGGAUAACUCCGGGAAACCGGGGCUAAUACCGGAUAAUAUUUUGAACCGCAUGGUUCAAUAGUGAAAGACGGUUUCGGCUGUCACUUAUAGAUGGACCCGCGCCGUAUUAGCUAGUUGGUAAGGUAACGGCUUACCAAGGCGACGAUACGUAGCCGACCUGAGAGGGUGAGCGGCCACACUGGAACUGAGACGCGGUCCAGACUCCUACGGGAGGCAGCAGUAGGGAAUCUUCCGCAAUGGGCGAAAGCCUGACGGAGCAACGCCGCGUGAGUGAUGAAGGUCUUCGGAUUGUAAAACUCUGUUGUUAGGGAAGAACAAAUUUGUUAGUAACUGAACAAGUCUUGACGGUACCUAACCAGAAAGCCACGGCUAACUACGUGCCAGCCGCCGCAGUAA